rnacentral:rRNA from 1 species
CCUACGGGAGGCAGCAGUGGGGGAUCUUGCACAAUGGGCGAAAGCCUGAUGCAGCGACGCCGCGUGGAGGAAGAAGGUUUUCGGAUUGUAAACUCCUGUUAAGUGGGAAGAAACGUUUGCGAGUAAUAUGCGCAAAAACUGACGGUACCACUAGAGAAAGCUCCGGCUAACUUCGUGCCAGCAGCCGCGGUAAUACGAAGGGAGCAAGCGUUAUUCGGAAUCACUGGGCGUAAAGGGCGCGUAGGCGGUUAAUUAAGUUAGUUGUUAAAUUCCUCAGCCUAACUGAGGCGCAGCGAUUAAAACUGAUUAGCUAGAGUGCAGAAGAGAGAAGUGGAAUUAUCGGAGUAGCGGUAAAAUGCGUAGAUCUCGAUAGGAACACCGAUGGCGAAGGCAGCUUCUUGGUCUGUUACUGACGCUAAAGCGCGAAAGCGUGGGGAGCA